UACGGGGGGGGCUAGCGUUGUUCGGAAUUACUGGGCGUAAAGGGCGCGUAGGCGGUCUGCUAAGUUGGAUGUGAAAACUCUGGGCUUAACCCAGAGCCUGCAUUCAAUACUGACAGGCUAGAGUUCUGGAGGGGAUAGCGGAAUUCCUGGUGUAGCGGUGAAAUGCGUAGAUAUCAGGAGGAACACCGGUGGCGAAGGCGGCAUCCUGGACCAACACUGACACUGAGGAGCGAAAGCCAGGGGAGCAAACGGG
rnacentral:rRNA from 1 species